ensembl:lncRNA
UGGGUUACUGGUAAAUAUUUGUAAAUGUUUGCAAUUUAUUUAAAUAAUUCUUAUUUAAAUAAUGAUAUUUGUAUGCGCUUCGAUGUUAUUUGUAUGUGAUUGACCGGAAAUUCUGUGCACCUGUAAUGUUGAAAUUUGUCCCUUUGGUGGCACCGUAGUUUGCACAAGGGAAGAUGAACCUUCAAGGUGGCUGUCGGGUGCGAAUGAUACGUAGCAUUGUUUGAGCUUAUAUGGAUUUUAUCUGAGAUUGUGUUUAUACAUGAAUUUAAACAACUUGACGCCCGUUUUAUGACGGAAGAAAGGAUUAUCCUAUAUUGUUUUGCAUUCCUUGGUGAGCGCAGUGAGGUACGAUAUGUUUCAUUCAUAAAUUGUUGCACAUAUGUAUGCUUUAUUUUGCUGUGUAAUUAACGUUUGUCAAUCUAAAUGUUUGUGUACUUAAUGACGCUUGUAACCGUGAGAACAAGUGUGUGAAAUGAUUGUUGUAUGUAUGUUUUCAAUACAGUUUUCACGGUGCUAAGGUGAUGAUGAAUUAAGGCUAAACGUCAUGCCGGUUUGACGAACGAAAUAAAGAACACCUUAUGCAUCAGUCGAGACUCUCUUCUUUGGAUCCAAGGGCUGCUACAGUGAAAACUCGACGCUAUAUUCAUCUGCUAUGCUGCACGACACGUCGUCAUCGUUCCUGAGGUUGCCAUUGUUUGUUCCACGCAUCCAAGCAAGGUCGUUAGUCAGUAGCACAUCUAACAGAGACUACAGAUGCGUUUUCACGGUGCUAAGGUGAUGAUGAAUUAAGGCUAAACGUCAUGCCGGUUUGACGAACGAAAUAAAGAACACCUUAUGCAUCAGUCGAGACUCUCUUCUUUGGAUCCAAGGGCUGCUACAGUGGAAAAGUUAAUUUUUUCAGUAAUUCAACUCAAAUUGUGAAACUUGUGUAUUAAAUAGAGUCAAAGCACACAGACUGAAGUAGUUUAAGUUUUUGGUUCUUUUGAUUGUGAUGAUUUUGGCUCACAUUUAACAAAAACCCACCAAUUCACUAUCUCAACAAAUUAGAAUACUUCAUAAGACCAAUAAAAAAAUUUUUUUAGUGAAUUGUUGGCCUUCUGGAA